rnacentral:lncRNA from 1 species
GCUUGGUGCCUGACCCUGUGCAAGGCUACUGGCUGUGAAACAGGGUGAGAGACGUGCUGACGUAGGAUGGAGAGAAGAGCCUAGAAGGCCUGGCGUGGGAAGAAGAUACAGCAACUUCAGGGGAAAGGCAGAGCGUGUUAGCGGGACUUAUGUACAGAGAAACGAGACACCAAGGCUUUUACCAGGAAGCAGCGUUUAUUCGCUGGGGCACUGGCUCAGCAGAGGCCCUGAGAGCUCUGGGUCGACAGUGCCUGACAGGUGCUGGCACAACGCCAUGGCAACAACUGACCAAGCAGUUUCUCUGGAGCAGACAGCCUGGGUCCAAAUCGCAGCCUCCUUGCUAGCUGUGUGAUCUCAGACAGGUGACUUAACUUUUCUGUGUCUCAGUGUCCAUGUUUGUAAAAUGGCAAUGUCACAAUAUCCAUCUUAUGAAGUUGUCAAGACUAAAAGAGUUAAUAUUUAUAAAGUCUUAGAAGAUGAUGGAACAUGAUAGUGUAUGAAAAUAGAAUGUGUACAUGUAUGUGUAACUGGGUCACCAUGCUGUACAGUAGAAAAAAAAAAGUUGUAUUGGGGAAAUAACUAUUAAAAAAUUUGAAAAUAAAUAAAUAAAUAAAA